rnacentral:rRNA from 1 species
AGCAGCCGCGGUAAUUCCAGCUCCAAUAGCGUAUAUUAAAGUUGUUGCAGUUAAAAAGCUCGUAGUUGAAUUUCGGGGUUAGUAGGUUGGUCAUGCCUCUGGUAUGUACUGGUCUCACUGAUUCCUCCUUCCUGAUGAGCCGUAAUGCCAUUAAUUUGGUGUUGCGGGGAAUUUGGACUGUUACUUUGAAAAAAUUAGAGUGUUUAAAGCAAGCUAACGCUUGAAUACAUUAGCAUGGAAUAAUGAAAUAGGACGUUCGAUCCUAUUUUGUUGGUUUCUAGGAUUGACGUAAUGAUUAAUAGGGAUAGUUGGGGGCAUUAGUAUUCAAUUGCCAGAGGUGAAAUUCUUGGAUUUAUUGAAGACUAACUACUGCGAAAGCAUUUGCCAAGGAUGUUUUCAUUAAUCAAGAACGAAAGUUAGGGGAUCGAAGACGAUCAGAUACCGUCGUAGUCUUAACCAUAAACUAUGCCGACUAGGGAUCGGAUGAUGUUAAUUUUUUUAAUGACUCAUUCGGCGCCUU